GUGCCGAUAGUUCAGUGGUAGAACCCUUACCUCCCACGUAAGUGAUCCGGGUUCGAUUCCCGGUCGGCGCA
rnacentral:tRNA from 1 species